rnacentral:rRNA from 1 species
GACUCUUGGCAAUGGAUAUCUCGGCUCUCGCAUCGAUGAAGAACGUAGUGAAAUGCGAUACUUGGAAUGAAUUGCAGAAUCCCAUGAACCAUCGAGUCUUUGAAUGCAAGUUGCGCCCGAAGCCAUUGGGCCGAGGGCACGUCUGCCUGGGCAUCA